rnacentral:rRNA from 1 species
AGAGUUUGAUCCUGGCUCAGGACGAACGCUGGCGGCGUGCUUAACACAUGCAAGUCGAGCGAUGAAGCUCCUUCGGGAGUGGAUUAGCGGCGGACGGGUGAGUAACACGUGGGUAACCUACCUCAAAGAGGGGGAUAGCCUCCCGAAAGGGAGAUUAAUACCGCAUAAUAAUCAGUUUUCACAUGGAGACUGAUUUAAAGGAGUAAUCCGCUUUGAGAUGGACCCGCGGCGCAUUAGCUAGUUGGUAGGGUAACGGCCUACCAAGGCGACGAUGCGUAGCCGACCUGAGAGGGUGAUCGGCCACAUUGGAACUGAGAGACGGUCCAGACUCCUACGGGAGGCAGCAGUGGGGAAUAUUGCACAAUGGGCGAAAGCCUGAUGCAGCAACGCCGCGUGAGUGAAGAAGGUUUUCGGAUUGUAAAGCUCUGUCUUUGGGGACGAUAAUGACGGUACCCAAGGAGGAAGCCACGGCUAACUACGUGCCAGCAGCCGCGGUAAUACGUAGGUGGCGAGCGUUGUCCGGAAUUACUGGGCGUAAAGAGUGCGUAGGCGGAUAUUUAAGUGAGAUGUGAAAUACCCGGGCUUAACCCGGGCACUGCAUUUCAAACUGGAUAUCUAGAGUGCGGGAGAGGAGAAUGGAACUCCUAGUGUAGCGGUGAAAUGCGUAGAGAUUAGGAAGAACACCAGUGGCGAAGGCGAUUCUCUGGACCGUAACUGACGCUGAGGCACGAAAGCGUGGGUAGCAAACAGGAUUAGAUACCCUGGUAGUCCACGCCGUAAACGAUGAGUACUAGGUGUAGGAGGUAUCGACCCCUUCUGUGCCGCAGUAAACACAAUAAGUACUCCGCCUGGGAAGUACGAUCGCAAGAUUAAAACUCAAAGGAAUUGACGGGGGCCCGCACAAGCAGCGGAGCAUGUGGUUUAAUUCGAAGCAACGCGAAGAACCUUACCUGGACUUGACAUACCCUGAAUAUCUUAGAGAUAAGAGAAGCCCUUCGGGGCAGGGAUACAGGUGGUGCAUGGUUGUCGUCAGCUCGUGUCGUGAGAUGUUAGGUUAAGUCCUGCAACGAGCGCAACCCUUAUUGUUAGUUGCUACGCAAGAGCACUCUAGCGAGACUGCCGUUGACAAAACGGAGGAAGGUGGGGACGACGUCAAAUCAUCAUGCCCCUUAUGUCCUGGGCCACACACGUACUACAAUGGUGGUAAACAGAGGGAAGCAAGACCGCGAGGUGGAGCAAACCCCUAAAAGCCAUCCCAGUUCGGAUCGCAGGCUGAAACCCGCCUGCGUGAAGUUGGAAUCGCUAGUAAUCGCGGAUCAGCAUGCCGCGGUGAAUACGUUCCCGGGCCUUGUACACACCGCCCGUCACACCAUGAGAGUCGGGAACACCCGAAGUCCGUAGUCUAACUUAGGAGGACGCGGCCGAAGGUGGGGUUAGUAAUUGGGGUGAAGUCGUAACAAGGUAACC